rnacentral:rRNA from 1 species
UCAUGAGUUUAAGUCCUUUGAAACAAGGCAUCAUAGAGGAUGAAAAUUCCGUUAUUUUAACUCAUUGUAAACUGCGUACGACAAAUAUUCAAAGAGUCGAGUUGCUUGAGAAUGCAGCUCUAAAUGGGUGAUAUGUUUCAUCUAAAGCUAAAUAUAGGCGAGAGACCGAUAGCGAACAAGUACCGUGAGGGAAAGAUGAAAAGAACUUUGNNNNAGAGAGUUAAAAAGGACUUGAAAUUGUUAAGAGGGAAGCGCUGAAAAUCAGUACCAUAAAAUAAAAAGAAUAUGUUAUUAAUUUACUUAAAUUCAAAAUUGUAUUUCUAGCAAUAGGGUACAAUUUUUAACGGAGGAUAAGUUAAUAAUUUCCAUUCUUUUUAUUGGGUCAGAAUCAAUUCGAUUUGUAUGAAAAAGUUAGAGGGAAGGUAGGAUUGCUGUGUCAAANCNUUAAUCUGUUAUAGCCCUUUAAACCUAAUAUAAAUUGGAUUGAGGUUCUUCAUUAUGAUACGCNNNNNNNNNNCUUNUUUUAAAAUUGCUAUUUAAUUCUUAUGUNNNNNNNNNNUGAAUUGCUUAAUAUUUGAAUUGAAUAUUCCAGUUUUUUAAUCGUAUGUAUCAUC